UGGAGCCGCUGCUGGAGCCCAGACGGAGGGAAUUCCUGGACUGUGGAGCAUGCUCCCCUCUGACAUGAACUCGCUGCCCCUCUAUGAGGAUCAGGCGAGCUGGCAGGCUCUGAGCCCAUUGGAUCCCGUUUUCCCCCUAUCGACCAAUGAGAUCGCUGCCCCUCCCCCCCGAGCCGCCCCCUCCCCCGUGGUUCCGGCCACUGAGGAUUAUGGGGGAGAUCACGACUUCCGCGUGGGAUUCGUGGAGGCGGGAACGGCCAAAUCGGUCACG